rfam:Aspergillus versicolor CBS 583.65 unplaced genomic scaffold ASPVEscaffold_2, whole genome shotgun sequence.
GCACCAAUGGUUUAGUGGUAUGACACGACUCUCCCAAAAAGGAAAUAUUUUCCCGAUUAGUGGUCAAGUCGAGACCCGGGUUCGAACCCCGGUUGGUGCA